AAUACCUGUUCCUGGGGAUGGCCAAAUGACAGCAAGUUGAAAGGAGGAAAUAAAAAAAAAUAGAAUUCCACAUCCCGUUUUCUUUCGCAGUGGCCCAUUAAACAGGGGAGACUGAACGAAAACGCAUUGGGGGAGAAGGCUACUUCUUACACCUCACUCGAAUUAACCGAUGUCCUUGUUUAAUUAUUUGUGUGGAUAUUUAGUGUAUUAACGAGGUGAAGGGAUUCGAAGUGUUAGCCUCAUGUGUGUGGAAUAACAGAAACACGAUAGGACACUCAGCCACUGAACACAGACCAAAAAAUAAAAUAUAAAUUAAAAAAAAACAUUAAAAAACACGCCCUCGCCAGCUCCAUUGUGUCCUCUCCCCCAAAUUAAACUAUACAAUUUGCAAAUGAACGAUGGCAAAACACCGCGCAGGCCCCUUAACUGCAAAUUGAGCCGUUCCAUAAAACUACGACGCUUCCCAUGCCACUUCACACCCCGACACACACACACACACACACACACACACACACACACACACACACACACGACUACUUACUCUCCUUCUCUCUCUUCUUCUUUCCUCAAAACCUAUAAACUUGUGGUGAUUUUAUUUACCCAUCUAUCUAAUGUUAGUGAAUCUAGAAUGUUUAUAUAAUUAAUUAUUGUAUGUGAAGGAUUUUUUUUGUUACCGUAGUCGCCCCUUCAAAAGAAACGGGAUUACAGAAAACCACUAGUAUCACCACCACUAACUGUAUUACCUUCACCACGUUAUUUGGCCCUUCUUCUUAAUCUUCUCUCCCCUGCAACACCACCACUAUCACCACCUCCACCUCCUUCCACUGCUAAUUGUUCCCUAUUACGAACCCCAACACCGCCACCGCCUUUCUCCUCACCACCACCUCCACAGACACUGAUCCUUCCUUCCUUUCCCUCUUGCGCCUUCAUCCCCACCACCACCACCACUACCUUCUACUGCUCAUUCUUUGUUACAAGCUCCACCACCUUUCCCCUACUCACCACCACCUCGGCAAACCUUCCUUCCUUCCUUUCUUUCCCUCCUGCACCUCCAUCCCACCACCACCAUCAGGCACCGUGUAUAUAACAACUCUUCCUAGAUCCCUGUAAAUUAAACCGUAAUUUUCGGUCGGUGUAAUUAUGAACCUAAUUAAAAGCUCUAAACAUUCCCACCUUCAAACGGAUCCUCUGAAUUAACCGAGCAAACAGCUGGAUGGACGGAUAGGAGGAUCGAGAAUGGGAAGACAGGAUGAAAGGGAGAGAAUGGGGAGGGAGGAAAAGAAGAAAGGAAGAAAGAAGAAAGGCGUGAAGGAACAACGAUCAGGAAGGGAGGGAAAGUUGGAUGGAUGGUAGGAAUGAAGGGGAGGAAUAGGAGUAAAGGGAAAGGAUAUAUAUAUAUAUAUAUAUAUAUAUAUAUAUAUAUAUAUAUAUAUAUAUAUAUAUAUAUAUAUAUAUAUAUAUAUAUAUAUAUAUAUAUAUAUAUAUAUAGUGUCCUUGUGUAUGAUAGGUACAUUUUGUUCUCAUUUGGUACUCUUUACUGGUGCAAUCUGGUACUACUUCUAAUAAAAAACUGCAUGAGUGGCAACACUGGGUUGCCGUAGUUUUCCUAGUGUGACAGUUGAACAGUGAACUACUGUGCGGCAGACGAAUUUCUCACCUCCAACACAUUCCUGCGCAAGACACCAAGCAUAUCUCUGGUAUUGUUGUAGGAGUACACCAGUCUAGAGAUGGCUUUUCUUACCCUGACCAUUAGAAAGAGCUCCGCAUUCUGAGUAAAUUCAUCCCCAUAAACACCCCUCGGAAAUCAUUUAUAACGGAGGGAGGGAGGCCGUUAGGUUAGGUUAGUUUUAGGUUAGGUUAGUUUUAGGUUAGGUUAGUGUUAGGUUAAGUUAGUUUUAGGUUAGGUUAGUGUUAGGUUAGGUUAGUUUUAGGUUAGGUUAGGUUAUGUUAGGUUAGGUUAGGUUAGGUUAGGUUAGGUUAGGUUAGGUUAGGUUAGGUUAGGUUAGUGUUAGGUUAGGUUAGUUUUAGGUUAGGUUAGGUUAGGUUAUGUUAGGGUUAUGUUUAGUUUAAAUGCACCUGUGUGGACGAAACUAGUUUUUUCUGGUAGAUUUCGGUCUGUUUUGAAUGAAUGUGCUCUAAAUUUUUUAUCGCAAAUCAUUAGUCUCUUGGUUGGAAGGGGGGGGGGGUAAAAAAAAAACACGUGAUUUGCGAUAGAAAUGACACGCAUAUUCAUUCAAAACAGGCCGAAAACUACCGAAAAAAACUAGUUUCGUUCGGAAAUGCGAGACUGGUGAAGUGCUACAAAUUUACCAUAUCUCUUUGAUUAGGUGUGAACGAUAGCCUAGCAACCCAGGCACAUGGAUCGAUACAAGGGGGGCGUGAUUCCAUAUGCCAAGAAAAUGCAAUUUUGCAAGAAGUAAUUAUAAAUACACACACACACAUAUAUGAAGGAGUAAACAAUGUAUGAGGGAAAGGAAGGAAGGAUCAGUGUCUGUGGAGGUGGUGGUGAGGAGAAAGGCGGUGGCGGUGUUGGGGUUCGUAAUAGGGAACAAUUAGCAAAAUAUACCAGCUACCCCCGCCUAUCCGCUUUCUAUAAUUUCAUCUCUUUUACGUGUCUUGUACGCGUUCCACUGACUCGCACCGCUUGCAACAGUGCUCGCGUUUUGUAAAUUGUAAUACCCACAUUAUACCACCAUAGCACCACCCGCCGCACAUCUCCAGUCACGUUAGUUAGCCUACCUAUGAACAAGUUCUCUGGAACCAGGAAAGGUACGUGUUGUGCCUACCAACCAGGGACUACUGAUUUUACCCAGGUAUCAGUAUUUUUUUUUCUUGAAAGCUAUUAGAAUAAAUGAAUAUUACAAAAAAAAAACUGAGCAGAAUGAAAUAUUAAGGAGCAAUUAACAAACUGCUUUUGAAGUAUGUUCCUUUUAUUCAUGUAAGCCACAACUCCAAGCAUCACCAUCCUUACCAUGACUUGGAUGGUGAGUCUGCUUCACAGAUUAAGAUAUCUUCCUCAUGGAGGAAGUUUUUUUAUACAUUAAAGCAGGGGUGUCAAACUCAUGGCCUGCGGGCCAAAUGUGGCCCGCGGAAUGGUCUUAAGUGGCCUGCGAGGUGACGAGAUUCUUCAGCUCGAGUUACUAUAAUUGUUACAGUUGAGGAAAAUAUUAAACUGUUGUUUUAUUCAUAUGACUCAUUUAUUUCAUAUUCAUAUUCCAACUUCAGUCUUGCCAAUAUGUAAUUACCAAAUCUUUGAUGGCCCUCUAGAUCAUAACCAAGUGCAUAAUUGGCCCUCGAAAGGAUUUGAGUUUGACACCCCUGCAUUAAAGCUUUACUUGACCGAGAAAGUAACCGUACUGUAGUGAUUAUGAUCAUCAUGAUGUUACUUUAACAGACCCAUACUUUAGAAAUAAAUUACCAUAUACGUGAAAUGAGACUAGAUAUUAGUCUAAAUAAAAUGAAGAUUUUUUCCCAAUACCAAAACUCUUGCAAAACAUGAAAACAGUUACUUAAAGAAAAAUUGAAAAAAUAACAUCCACAAUGGUCGGUGGUGCUGACAUUAACCCGCAGCUUCUUGAUAUCAGACAUUAACCUAAAAUGAUAAGGACACACAUCACAUAACUCUUGAUGGAAUGCACUAUAACUCAUACCAUUGUUUGUCUUCUGCAUGAGGUACCUGAAUGCCCACAGCCUUAUAAUAGGCUGAGAUAAGUUAUUUGUCAUACAUGUCAACCAAAAAUAAAUAAAAACUAGCUACUAUGCUAUAAGAUUACAAAGCAUUCACAAAUUUGAUGCAGUCUUGUAAGGCUGAGAUAAGUUAUUUGUCAUACAUGUCAACCUAAAAUAAAUAAAAACUAGCUACUAUGCUAUAAGAUUACAAAGCAUUCACAAAUAUGAUGCAGUCAUCAGUCACCACCCAACACCUGGUAAAGAACAGCUGAGUGCUAUAGAGAACCUGAAGACUGCACAUACACAAAGGAACACAAAGGAAGAACAAACAACAGCAGACCUGCUGGUCCUUACGAGGUUGUUUGUGACAAGCUACACUAACUAUCUAAUCAAAGGUGGAAGAUGAAGGACAGCAAAGGCGAAGGCUCCUCCCCACCCCCCCAUCCCUCCAGCCAAAGCUGGCAGGAAAGGAAAAAGAACCAUGCAGCAUGGAAAAACUGCAUGGAAUUUAUGUAGGAAAGAGGAAAGAACUACCAUUACUGCUACCACUAACCGGGCGAUAAAAGCGGACAAGGACACCAGUAUUCGAAAGAACUUAACGUUAUUACGACAAUGAAUAAUAUCUUACUUGCUGGUUGGAUUCAAAACACUUGUCUAAUCUAUUCUUGAAGGCCGUAACUGUUGUACUAUCAACGACAUCACAAGGUAGAGAGUUCCAAACAUUAACAACUCGAUUGAAGAAGUGUUUAGCUUCGUGCGCCGAGAAUCUUUUACCACUUAUCUUCAAAUUGUGAUUUCUUCUUGUUCUAUUUGAUCGAUCAAUUGUAAAGUAAUCUUCCGCAUUAAUAUCACUGAAUCCUUUGAACAUUUUAAACACUUCUAUUAGAUCGCCUCGCAUUCUUUGUUUUGAUAGGCUGAACAAAUUUACUUCUUUAAGCCUUUGUUCAUAUGACAAAUUUCUCAACCUAGGAAUCAUCUUUGUUACGAAGAGUAACAAAGAUGAUUCCUAGGUUGAGAAAUUCCGUUCCAACUUUUCUAUGUCUUUUCUGUAGUAGGGAGACCAAAACUGUACACAGUACUCUAGACCAACGAAUUAUACAGUUUUAAUAUUACUUUUUCGGAUUUAUUAUUAAAGACUCGUCCGAUGAAGCCAACCAAUUUGUUUGCAGUUUUAACUACCUCUGAACAAUGCUGACCGGGCUUUAAAUCGCUUGAUAUAGUGAUUCCAAGAUCCUUUUCUUUACUUACUGCAGAAAGUUGUUGGCCAUUCAUUACGUACCGAACGCGAUUGUUAUUUUUCCCGAUGUGCAACACUUUACAUUUGUCAACGUUAAAUUUCAUUUGCCAUUGAUUGGCCCAACGUGCAAGUCGAUCUAUAUCUGAUUGUAAAGCUUCUUCGUCGAGUGUCGCAGUUACUUUACUAGCAAUUUUUGUGUCAUCAGCAAAUUUUGAUACUUUGCAAGUGAGCCCAUCAUCGAUAUCAUUAACAUAAAUUAAGAAGAGACUGACCUAUAAGCCUCAUUACUGUAGAAAUGGUUGUCCAAGAUGCAUUAAGCCAGAUAAAACUUACUCUCUGGGCAACCACCAUAUUAUAUACCCCAAGAGCAAUCUCUUCUUUCAUUAACUGGCCACUACCACAAGUAGAAGUCUCCAGACUUGAACUGAGGAGUGUUGUUUCUUCCCUUUACCCUCAAUGGGCUGAGCGCCAGUUUCAAGAACUUAUUGGGUACCCAGGAGGACAUUGGAGUGUUGCAAUGUGAAAUACGAGUUUCAAGAGCAUUGAAGAGUAGCAUGUGUACAGGAAAUACCACAUGGAACUUUAGAAAUAAAUUAUGCAAGAAAUUAGACUAGAUAUUAGAUUCAAAAUGAAAUACAUAUUUUUUCCCAAUAACAAAGCUUUUUCAAAACAUAAAAACAUUGAGUAUCCAUGAGUCAUCGAGUAUCAAAUGAACUUGCUUGGUAAUUCCAAAGGCUGGAUGCACAAUGCACCCCAUCAUGUUCACAAUGACCAGUGUCAAGUUCUUGAAACCGAAUCCAUUCUCCCCUACACUAUUAUGAUUGAUAUUUACAGUAAGAGUCAAUCAGGAGCUGCCAUUUUCUCUGAACAUUUAUUUCUCUAACCUGAGAUUCCUAUUAAACAAAAAUAAAUAUUGAUAAUUAUUUUUUCACUAAUUCAUCAUUUUUUGUGCAUCAUAAUUAUUACCAGACAGCCUGCUUACUGGAGCCAGGGUGAGGACCUUGCAUUGGUAUUUUUUCUCAUAUAAUUUUGCUUACAUAUUCCUCAAGCGGCAAAAUUUAAUGUGGUGUCAGAGCUUGAUUUGGGGGCAAAGGUGAUAACAGUGAUUAUUGUUGAUGAAUGUUGUGUACAUCAAGGUUUUGAGUUCUUUUAGGGGCUGCACAAGGUUUGAUGGCUCUGUUUGAUUUUGUGGCUGUGCUGAAAGUUACAGGUUUGGUGGGCUAGUUUGCUAGUCUGGAAGUAUCAUCCUCGUCCUCAGAAUUGAAUGGACUUUUAAUGAUCCUUUUUCUCUUGGUCGGUCUCUUGCGUAUCGGUUUAAUAACAUCCUCUACACUAUCAGAUGAGUCAUCACUAAGUUUGAGAUCCUCGUGUACUUUCUUCCGCUUCCUAUUUGAGCUCCAUGGGAACACUUGAAGGCUGGGAUCAAUGGAGUCAAAAUUACUUGACGAUUCUUCUUUAUCUUCUCUUGAUAUGCUGGCUUUACUUUUACUUGCAGAUGUACUUGUCUUAUUUUCAUUGGUUAAUGUUUUUAAUUUUUUUCCUUCUUUGUCUUGCAAAACUUUGGAGGUUGAUGUAAUUUUGGGAAUAAACUUAUUGCUUACUGACUUAGUCAUCUUUUCUAUCCUUUUUGUGGAAGUUGGAGUGACAUUUUUUUCCUUAUUUAUUGUCUUCUGUAUUCCUUUGGAAGAAUGAAGAGUUUUCUUGACCUCAGAAGUUAUGCUGCAAGUUGACUUUUUCUGUAAAGUUUUUGUUUUCAAAUCAGAUGUAUUCUCAAAGUAGCCCUGUGGCAUAACUUUCUCCAUUUUCAUAAAGGUACAACAGAUUCUGCAUCUCAUAGUGACAGUCCCUGUGCUGAGGGAGAUACUUGUAUACUCGUCAGGCACAAGCUUGUGUUUGCAGGCAAGACAUAUGUCCACAGAGUGAUCAAGGACAAUGGUCUCUUGAUGGAGUGGAUGUACAGUUUGUGGUGAAUCAUCAGGAGGCAGCAGUGUAUCUUUGCUUUCUUUGGCUUCAGGAGACUCAGAAGCAUUAAUGGAAUCGAAAUCAUAUUUAACAAGGAGUUUCUCAUCCAAUUGCUUGAAUGGUCUCUUUUUUGGACUUUUCAAUGAGGUGUUACUUUUUGCAACACUUUCUGUAGAGGCUGGAAGGUCCCCUACAUAUAUUCUGACACACUGCAUGUUUGCAAAGGUUUUUUCAAUUACUGAACUUAUAUUAUCUGUAGCCCCUCUUCCACUGUGAUUCUUGCAUUCUGAUUUUUUUCUACUCACUAUCCCUUUGUUCUUCAAUGGCUUCUCUUUAUUUAUUUCAUUCUCUUGUAGUGGUAUAUCACUUGCCUUUUUCUUCCAAGAUUGCACCUGAGUUUUUCCAACUGAUGGGUUAUCAUUGGCCUUUUUCUCCUGAAGUUUACUUUUCUUUUGUUGGAGUUGGCUGUUGCCUUCAGCUUUUAACUGUUUUUCACCUGCUGAGGGCUUACCCUUGCCCUUUCCAGCUUGAAGAGUAUCUUUCCUUUGUUGUGAUUUGCUAUCUUUAGUUCCUGAAAGUUUCUUAACUGCAUAUUUUUUAGAGAUUUUGUCCUUAGAGAGUUGCUUUGUAGCUUCAUUACAUGAGGGUGCAGCACCUUUAUUACCUCUCUGGAUGUUAUUACUCUUAACAUUCUUAACAUUGCCACCAGAACUGGUGCCUCUGCUACUUCCUGCAUCCAUUGUGCUGUCUUGCAUACCACCACUACCCUGAGGCAUGUUAGGCCUCUUCUUUUUGUCUCCAUUUUGGCCUCCUGAUGUCUCUGAAUCAUUUUUGCUGAUGGUGGUGGUUUUACGAAUCUUAUCCAGAAUUCUCGGCAGGUUGUUGGAGAGGUCAUCUCCAGUUGCGGUAUGUUGUUUUGCAAUCUCUAUCAGGCUCAAAAGAGUAGUCAUCUCUGCAGAGUUGAGUGUCAAACAUUCUUUCUCUUGUUCUUGUCUGGCACUCUGUGUGGUUACAGCUUCAUGUUCUAUUGGUACAGUCACUACACUUCCUGCAUUUGAUGGGGUCUUGUCAGAAGUAGCAGCUUCAUGGUCUGCAAUGAGUGUGCUAACUUCAGACAGACAAUUAUCAAAAUCCUCUAAAUCAGAGUCAUGGUCAGAGUCACUCAACCAGUAUGGGGGAUCAUUCACAUCUCUUAUGCCACUGGAAGCUGCACUUGAUACUCCAGAAGGUCCAGGUAAAUUUGGCUCAUUGAGCUCAGUUUGGCCAGUCAGUAACUGCCUCCCAUUAGUAUUGGGCACAAAGGAAGGUUGAUGAUACCUGGAGUUAGUACUUGAUUCCUCAAGGUAGAAGUCCUCUGGCUGGCCAAUGGUGGGCUCACUACCUACUGCAAAAAUUUGUGUCUGUGACCUUGGGGUAAAGUUUCUUUGGUUGUUUGAAUCACAAAGUUGGGACUUUAUAACAUCAUCAGGUAGCUUGGGGUCAUUAACAUGUGCUGCAGCUACAGGAGCUGAGGUGUUGGUGCCUUUUAUUGAAUUGCAGCUCAAACUACCGCUCUCUGUAAACUGCCCCUCUCCUUUCUGCAUUUGAUCCUUUUCAGGGCAAGGCUUACUGUCUUCCAGGCAAUCCUCAUCAUCCUCCACAGCAGGAUUAAAAAAGUAAUCACUGUUUCCAAUAGCAUUUUUCUCGUUAUUCUGCUGUGUUCUACAAUGGUUUCUAGAACUUGGGGACCUAGAAUGGUUCCUCUGGCUUAGUUCAUGACUAAAAUGUGGCUCCCUCAAUUGUGCAUGUGAUAGCUGCAACUCUGGAGAUGUUCGUAAAGGAGGCCUCUCAGACACUGAGGGAUAAAAUUCUCUGUCACUCAAAACAAGUGUCUCUUUUUCUCUUAUAAAGCUCACAUUUUGCAGCCUUUUCUCCCUCAAAAAGUCACUUAUGUACCUGGGAGUGUGUGACUCUCUGUCCCUCAAAGAGUCACCUCUGUACAGAGGAGUGUGUGACUCUUUGUCCCUCAAAGAGUCACCUCUGUACCCAGGAGUGUGCGACUCUUUGUCCCUCAAAGAGUCACCUCUGUACCCAGGAGUGUGUGACUCUUUGUCCCUCAAAGAGUCACCUCUGUACCCAGGAGUGUGUGAUUCUCUGUCCCUCAAAGAGUCACCUCUGUACCUGGAAGUAGUGUGAGAUUCAUUGUCUCUCAAAAAGUCACUUCUGAAACUGGAAGGAGAGUGUGACUUUCUGCCUCCACGAGAGUCACCUCUGUACCCUGGUGUGUGUGACUCUCUGUCCCUCAAAGUGUUACCUCCAAACCUGGGAGUGUGUGACUCUAUGUCCCUCAAAGAAUCACCUCUGUGCCUGGAAGGAGAGGGAGACUCAUUGUCUCCCAAGAAGUUCCUUCUGAAACCAGGAGAGUGUGACGCUCUGUUCCUUAAAGAGUCACCUCUGUUCCUGGACGGAGAGCGUGACCCUCUAUUCCUCAAAGGGUCACCUCUGUGCCUGGACGGAGAGUGCGACUCUCUGUCCCUCACAAAGUCAUCUCUGCACCUGGAGGGAGAGUGAGACAGUCUGUUUCUCCCACGAUCAUCUCUGUACCUGGAGGGAGAGGGAGACUGUCUGUUUCUCCCACGAUCAUCUCUGUACCUGGAGGGAGAGUGAGACAGUCUGUUUCUCCCACGAUCAUCUCUGUACCUGGAGGGAGAGUGAGACCCUCUGUUUCUCAAAGAAUCACUUUUCUGCCUCAAGGGAGAGCAUGACUCUCUCCUUAAGGACCUUCGUUCAUACCUUGGUGAAUAUGACUCUCCAUCUCUAUGGGUAGAAUGUAGCUGACUGCUUCUGCCUUCUCCAAGUUGGAGUGGCGAAUGUGAACUUCUGCGUUGUUGUUGUGCGAAUCUUGAGGGAAGCCUGGAUUGUUGAUCACUCAGGGAAGCAAGGAGGUCAAGGACGACAGUAGAUAAUUCAGUCGAAGAAGAACCUAACCUUGAGUGACAGUCAUACUGUUCUCUGGUAGGUGACACAUUUUCUUGCACAAAGGGGCCUGCAUGCCGCUGUUUGGCUGGAUGUCUGGAGUGCAUUUUCCUUCCUCUGUCAAAGUUACCUUGCUUCUUGACAUGCUCUCCCUUGGACCCUCUCCAUGGUGAGCUAGAUUGAGACAAGAAGGUCAAUCUUUCCUUAAUGCUACCUUUCGGCUUCACAGUCUCACCAUCCUUAUUUUGGCUGACUGGCUCUCUCCCUUUCUCAUAGUAUUUGUCUGAAUGUGCUUUCAUGUAAUUAAGCACAAUAUUGACAGAGUUGACAUGCAUCAUAUGUUUCUCCGUGUCA